GCGGGCGUGGCGAAAUUGGUAGACGCACUAGACUUAGGAUCUAGUGCCGCAAGGCGUGGGGGUUCGAGUCCCUUCGCCCGCA
rnacentral:tRNA from 2 species